CCUACGGGUGGCAGCAGUGGGGAAUAUUGCACAAUGGGCGCAAGCCUGAUGCAGCCAUGCCGCGUGUGUGAAGAAGGCCUUCGGGUUGUAAAGCACUUUCAGCGGGGAGGAAGGCGUUAAGGUUAAUAACCUUGUCGAUUGACGUUACCCGCAGAAGAAGCACCGGCUAACUCCGUGCCAGCAGCCGCGGUAAUACGGAGGGUGCAAGCGUUAAUCGGAAUUACCGGGCGUAAAGCGCACGCAGGCGGUCUGUCAAGUCGGAUGUGAAAUCCCCGGGCUCAACCUGGGAACUGCAUUCGAAACUGGCAGGCUAGAGUCUUGUAGAGGGGGGUAGAAUUCCAGGUGUAGCGGUGAAAUGCGUAGAGAUCUGGAGGAAUACCGGUGGCGAAGGCGGCCCCCUGGACAAAGACUGACGCUCAGGUGCGAAAGCGUGGGGAGCAAACAGGAUUAGAUACCCCUGUAGUC
rnacentral:rRNA from 1 species